GAUGAACGCUGGCGGCGUGCCUAAUACAUGCAAGUCGAACGGCAGCACGGGUGCUUGCACCUGGUGGCGAGUGGCGAACGGGUGAGUAAUAUAUCGGAACGUACCUUAUUGUGGGGGAUAACGCAGCGAAAGCUGUGCUAAUACCGCAUAAUCCCUAAGGGGGAAAGCGGGGGACCGUAAGGCCUCGCGCAAUUAGAGCGGCCGAUACCUGAUUAGCUAGUUGGUGAGGUAAAGGCUCACCAAGGCAACGAUCAGUAGCUGGUCUGAGAGGACGAUCAGCCGCACUGGGACUAGGACACGGCCCAGACUCCUACGGGAGGCAGCAGUGGGGAAUUUUGGACAAUGGGGGCAACCCUGAUCCAGCAAUGCCGCGUGAGUGAAGAAGGCCUUCGGGUUGUAAAGCUCUUUUGUCAGGGAAGAAACAGCAGCUCUAACACAGUUUGCGAAUGACGGUACCUGAAGAAUAAGCACCGGCUAACUACGUGCCAGCCGCCGCAGUAA
rnacentral:rRNA from 1 species